rnacentral:lncRNA from 1 species
AUUGGAUUAUAACAUUAUAUAGCUUUCAGAUGUACAUCAUAAUAUAUUUCGGAUUCAUGUUCACCACCCAAAAGCUAAUUAUAGUCCAUAUCCUCACAUGUGAGCUUAAUCACCCCUUUUGCCCUCCCCCCUCCCCUAUGGUAACCACCAAUCCAAUCUCCAUUGCUAUGUGUUUGUUGCUAUUUUUAUCUUCUACUUGUGAGUGCAAUCAUACGGUAUUUGACUUUCUCCCUCUGACUUAUUUCACUUUGCAUAAUACCCUCAAGGUCCAUCCAUGUUGUCACAGAUGGCCCGAUUUCAUAAUUUCUUAUGGCUGAGUAGUAUACCAUUGUGUAUAUAUACCACAUCUUCUUUAUCUAUUCAUCCCUUGAUAGGCACCGAGGUUGCUUCCAAAUCUUGGCUAUUGUGAAUAAUGCUGCAAUGAAUAUAGGCGUGCAUGUAUCUUUAUGCAUUUGUGUUUUCAAGUUCUUUGGAUAAAUACCCAACAGUGGGAUAGCUGGAUGAUAUAGUAGAUCUAUUCUUAAUUUUCUGAGGAUACUCCAUACUGCUUUCCACAGUGGCUGCACCAGUUUGCACUGCCACCAGCAGUGAACAAGGGUUCCCAUCUCUCCACAUCUUCUCCAACACUUGUUGUUUCCUGUCUUGAUAGUUACAGCCAUUCUGACUGGAGCGAGGUGAUACCUCAUUGUAGUUUUGAUUUGCAUUUCCCUGAUAGCUAACGAUGUUGAGUAUCUUUUCAUAUGCCUGUUGGCCAUCCAUAUAUCUUCUUUGGAGAAAUCUCUGUUCCGAUCUUUUGCCCAUUUUUUAAUUGGGUUGUUGGUUUUUUUGUUGUUGAGCUGUAUGAGUUCUUUGUAUAUUUUGGAUAUUAACCCCUUAUCUGAUAUAUGGUUUGCAAAUAUCGUCUCCCAAUUGUUAGGUUGUAUUUUCAUUUUGUUGAUGGUUUCCUUUGCUGUGCAGAAGCUUUAGUUUGAUGUAGUCCCAUUUGUUCAUUUUUUCUUUUGUUUUCUUUGCCCAGUCACACAUGGUACUUGAAAAUAUGCUGCUCAGACCAAUGUCAAAGAGCGUACUGCCUAUGUUUUCUUCUAGAAGUUUCACAGUUUUGGGUCUUACAUUCAAGUCUUUAAUCCAUUUUGAGUUGAUUUUUGUGCAUGGUGUAAGGGAAUGGUCUACUUUCAUUCUUUUGCAUGUGGCUGUCCAGUUUUCCCAACACCAUUUAUUGAAGAGACUCUCCUUUCUCCAUCGUAUGCUCUUGGCUCCCUUGCCGAAUAUUAGCUGUCCAUAAAUGUGUGGGUUUAUUUCUGGGCUCUCAAUUCUGUUCCAUUGAUCUGUGUGUCUGUUUUUGUGUCAGUACCAUGCUGUUUUAGUUACUAUGGCUUUGUAGUAUAUUUUUAAAUCAGGGAGUGUGAUACCUCCAGCUUUGUUCUUUUUUCUCAGGAAUCCUUUGGCUAUUCGGGAUCUUUUGUUGUUCCAUAUAAAUUUUAGGAUUCUUUGUUCUAUUUCUGUGAAAAGUGUUGUUGGAACUUUGAUAGAGAUUGUGUUUAAUCUGUAGAUUGCUUUAGGAAGUAUGGACAUUUUAACAAUGUUAAUUCUUCCAAUCCAAGAGCACGGGAUAUCUUUCCAUUUCUUUGUGUCUUCUUCGAUUUCUUUCAACAAUGUUUUAUAGUUUUCAGUGCACAGAUCUUUCACCUCUUUGGUUAAGUUUAUUCCUAGGUAUUUUAUUUUUUUUGUUGCAAUUGUAAAUGGGAUUGUAUUCUUAAUUUCUCUUUCUGCUACUUCGUUGUUAGUGUAUAGAAACGCAACUGAUUUUUGUAUGUUGAUUUUGUGUCCUGCAACUUGACUGUAUUCAUUUAUUAGUUCUAAAAGUUUUUUAGUGGAUUAUUUAUGGGUUUCUAUAUAUAAAAUUAUGUCAUCUGCAAAGAGUGACAGUUUCACUUCUUCUUUUCCAAUAUGGAUCCCUUUUAUUUCUUUUUCUUACCUGAUUGCUCUGGCUAGGACUUCCAAUACUAUGUUAAAUAAGAGUGGUGACAAUGGGCAGCCUUGUCUGGUUCCUGUUCUUAGGGGGAUAGCUUUCAGUUUUUCUCCAUUGAGAAUGAUAUUUGCUGUGGGUUUGUCAUAUAUGGCCUUUAUUAUAUUGAGGAAUUUUCCUUCUAUAUCCAUUUUAUUUAGAGUUUUUAUCAUAAAUGGAUGCUGUAUCUUGUCAAAUGCUUUCUCUGCAUCUAUUGAGAUGAUCAUGUGAUUUUUAUUCUUCAUUUUGUUAAUGUGGUGUAUCACGCUGAUAGAUUUGCAGAUGUGGAACCAUCCCUGCAUCCCUGGAAUGAAACCCACUUGGUCAUGAUGUAUCAUCUUUUUAAUGUAUUGUUGCAUUCAAUUUGCUAGUAUUUUGUUGAGGAUUUUUGCAUCAAUGUUCAUCAGUGAUAUUGGCCUGUAAUUUUCUUUUUUUGUGUUGUCCUUGUCUGGUUUUGGUAUCAGGAUAAUGUUGACUUCGUAGAAUGAGUUAGGAAGGCUCCCCUCCUCUUCAAUUUUUUGGAAGAGUUUGAGAAGGAUAGGUAUUAAGUCUUCUUUGAAUGUUUGGUAGAAUUCACCAGGGAAGCCAUCUGGUCCUGGACUUUUAUUUUUUGGGAGGUUUUUAAUUGCUGUUUUGAUCUCCUUACUGGUGAUCGGUCUAUUCAAAUUUUCUACAUCUUCUUGGUCCAGUUUUGGAAGGUUGUCUGUUUCUAAGAAUUUAUCCAUUUCUUCUAGAUUAUCCAAUUUGUUGGUGUGUAGCUUUUCAUAGUAUUCUCUUAUUAUCUUUUGUAUUUCUGAGGUGUCUUUUGUAAUUUCUCCUCUUUCAUUUAUGAUUUUAUUUAUUUGAGCCUUCUCUCUUUUUUUCUUGGUGAGUCUAGCUAAGGGUUUGUCAAUUUUCUUUAUCUUUUCAAAGAACCAGUUCUUGGUUUCAUUAAUUUUUUCCAUUGUUUUGUAGUCUCUAUUUAGUUUAUUUCUGCUCUGAUUUUUAUUAUUUUCUUCUUUCUGCUGAUUUUGGGAUUUGUUUGUUCCUCGUUUCUCCAGUACCCUUAGAGGCACUGUUAGAUUCUUUAUUUGGGAUUUUUCUUCUUUGUUGAGGUAGGCUUGAAUUGCUAUAAACUUCCCUCUUAGAACUGCUUUUGCUGUAUCCCAUAGAUUUUGGCAUGCCAUAUUUUCAUUUUCAUUUGUCUCCAGGAAUUUUUUUAUUUCUCCUUUGAUUUCUUCAUUGACCCAAUCGUUUUUCAGUAGCAUUGUGUUUAAUCAUCUCAUUUUUGUGUCUUUCCUGGUUUUCUUGCUGUACUUGAUUUUUAGUUUCAAACAUUUGUGGUCAGAAAAGAUGCAUGGUAUGAUUUCGAUUUUCUUAAACUUAUUCAGCCUUGUUUUGUGGCCUAAUAUGUGAUCAAUCCUGGAGAAUGUUCCAUGGGCAUUUGAAAAGAAUGUGUAUUCUGUGGUUUUUGGAUGGAAUGUUCUAUGUAAAUCCACUAAGUCUGUCUGAUCAAAUGUGUCAUUUAAGGCCAGUGUUUCCUUAUUGAUCUUCUGUUUGGAUGAUCUAUCCAUUGGUGUAAGUGGAGUGUUAAAGUCCCCUACUAUUAUUGUGUUUCUAUUUCUCCUUUUAUGUCUGUUAAUAAUUGCUUUAUAUAUUUAGGUGCUCCUAUGUUGGAUGCAUAGAUACUUCAAAUGUUAUAUCUUCUUGUUGGAUUGUUCCCUUUAUCAUUGUGUAGUGCCCUUCUUUGUCUCUUGUUACAGGUUUUGUUUUAAAGUCUAUUUUUUCUGAUAUAAGUAUUGCUACUCCUGCUUUCUUUUCUUGACCAUUUGCAUGGAAUAUCUUUUUCCAUCCUUUCACUUUCAGUUUGUGAGCGUCUUUAGGUCUGAAGCGUGUCUCUUGUAUGCAGCAUAUAUAUGGGUCUUGUUUUUUUUAUCCAAUUGGCCACCCUGUGCCUUUUGAUUGGAGCAUUUAGUCCAUUGACAUGUAAAGUAGCUGUUGAUAAAUAUGUAUUUAUUGCCAUUUUGUUACUUUUUUUCCUGAGUGUUUUAGUAGUUCUUCUCUGUUCCUUCUUUUUCUCUUGUUCUCUUCCCUUGUGGUUUGAUGGCUUUCUUUAGUAAUAUGUUUGAUUUCUUUUGUCUUACUUAUCUGCUUACUUAUUAUAAGUUUCUGAUUUGUAAUUACCACAAGGAACCUAUGUAAUAUUUUAUGUAUAUAACAGUCUAUAUCAAGUUGAUAGACUCUUUAGCUUAACCUCUUUCUAAAAGCUCUACUUUUUCACUUCCCUCCUCCCACAUUUUAUGUUUUUGAAAUCAUAUAUAAUCUCUUGUUUUGUGUGUGUCUGUCCAUUACCCUCUUAUCAUUGAAAUAGAUAAUUUUAGUAAUUUUGUCUUUUGACCUUCAUCUUAUCUUCACAGGUGUUUGAUCUGCUACCUUUGCUAUAUUUUUACCUUUACCAGUGAUUUUAUUGCCGGGGUUUUUUUGGGGGGAUAUUUUUUUGAUAAUUUUUUAUCCCUAUUUGUGCUCAUCACUUUCCCACUUAAAUAAGUUCCUUCAGCAUUUCUUGUACAAUUGGUUUAUUGGUGAUAAACUCCUUUAAUUUUUGCUUGUCUGGGAAGCUCUUUAUCUCUCCUUCCAUUCUGAAUGACAACUUUGAUGGAUAGAGUAUUCUUGGUUGUAGGUUUUUCCUUUUAGCACUUUAAAUACGUCAUGCCAUUCUCUUCUUGCCUGUAGGGUUUGGACUGAGAAGUCCGCUGAUAGCCUUAUGGGCUUUCCUUUGUAUGUCACUUGUUGCCUUUCUCUUGCCACUUUUAGGAUUCUCUCUUUAUCUUUAAUUUUGGACAUUUUAAUUAUGAUGUGUCUUGGUGUGGGCUUCUUUGGGCUUAUCUUGUUUGGAGCUCUCUGUGCUUCCUGUACCUGAAUAUCUGUUUCCUUCCUUAGAUUAGGAAAAUUUUCCUCUAUUAUUUCUCCAAAUAAAUUUUCUGCCCCUUUGUCUCUGUUCUCUUUCUGGGCCACCUAUAAUACGAAUGUUAGUGCACUUGAUAUUGCCACAGAGUUCCCUUAGAGUGUUGUCAUUCUGUCUAAUCCUUUUUUCUUUUUUCUGUUCUGCUUGGAUGAUUUCCUCUAGUCUUUCAUCUAGCUCACUGAUGUUUUCUUCUGUAUCCUCUACUCUGAAAUUGAGUCCCUCUAGUGAAUUUUUCAUUUCCAGUAUUGUAUUCUUCACUUCUGAUUGGUUCUUUUUUAUAUUUUCCAGUUGUUUGUUGAUGAGCUCACUGUGUUCAUCCAGUUUUCUCCUAAUAUCUGUCAGCAUACUUAUGAGAUUUGUUUUGAUCUCUUUGUCUGGUAGGUUGCUUAUUUCUCUUUCAUUUAGUCCUUUUUCUGGGGUUUUGUACUGUUCCCUUGCUUGGAAUGUAUUCCUUUGUCUCCUCAUUAUGCCUCUUUCUCUGCACUUAUUUCUAUGUAUUAUGUGAGUCAGCUAUGUCUCCUGAUCUUGGAGAAGUGCCCUUAUGUAAGAGAUGCCUUUUGAGACCCAGCAGUGUGCUUCCCUCUCAUCACCAGUCCAAAAGAUCCAGAAGUGACCCCUUUGUAGGCUACUUGUGUCCUACUGCUGUGGCAGGGUUGAUAUUAAUGCAGGUAACCGGGGAAUCUAGUCUUUCAUUCCCUGGCCAGCUGCUUGUAAAUCUGGUUUGGGGAGCCUCAUUACCAUUGGCUACAAGGUCUAACAGCACACUCCUGUUGCAGUUUUCCUGUUAAUUGGGUAGAUACCCAGUGUAGCUGGUUGCUAGGCUCAGGAGCUUACAGUUGCUACAGGCCUCAGGCCUACCAGGCUGUUGUCAGUUCUCUUAGGAGUGUAGCUGAGUGGUGCUGGCCCUAGGCACAGGAGCACUCAAUUGUUUCAGACUUUGGAAGGUGGGACUGAUCCUUUUUAUGGCUAUUUGUGAAGCACAGGUUUUUUGCCACUGAUAAGCCUCACCCCUCACAGGACCACACACACCAUCAACACAGUCCUGGUCCAUGCACACUUCCCAACCCCCUGGAAUGGACCUUGAUGCCCCACUGCAGAGGCCCCCACCUCUCCACCAGUGCCCCCCCACAGUUCACCUGGUCCUCACACAGGCCCUGCCCCACAGAGGUGGACACACUUGCCUGCCUGUAGAGGAUCAAGGCACCCAGUCAAUGCAGGCUGACAAGUAGCCUGAGGGCUUGCUGUUGGGUGGGGCCGAUCCCUAGGGUGGGCUGCCUGCCCUGGCUGAACUGGAUUAAAUCUGCGCUCUAGUGGGUGUGGCAGCCCCCUGGGCUAACAGGCCAGGAGAAGGAUCUCAAUGGUGUCUGUUGGGGUCUGUGUCAACAUGCCUGGACCAGGUCAGAACAAUGGCCCCCACCAAUGUCUCAGUCUCUGGAGAGGACCCUCCUCUCACUGAGAUGCCCCCAGAGCCCACCAAGUGAGUCUCUUUUCAACAAAGGACUGUCAGCCUUCUCUCUGGUGAUUGCAGGUUGCCAAGAUGGGUGAGUUUGUGUGUGGGCCCUUUAAGACCUAAGUCUUUUCGUCUUUCGUCUGAUAGCUUUACUGGGGAUAUUCCCCACUGUAGUUAAUAGCCAGCAAAGCCAGAUAGUAAGAUCCUCAUCUCAAUUGUACUGAGUCUGAAGCCUGCUUACAGCAGUAUUGGCCCCCCUCGCCGAACCUCACUCCUCCAAGGGGGGCCUGCAUACCUUUGGGUGGCUUCCACCUAGCUGGCUGAGAAACUCUGCUGCUCCCAAAGGUCACUUUUUCUCUCCAGCAGGAAUUUCUGCCCCUUCUGCCUUAAUCAGGACUGUCCCUUGUUGUGGGGGUUCUUUUUAUCCAGUUUUCAGUUUUCUAUCCCGGGUAAUUUUUCCAAAAAUAGUUGUAACCUUGUUGUGUUCAUUGGAGGAGAUGAGUUCAGAGACUGUUUCUGCCACCAUCUUGACGAGAUCUCCUACCCCACAAAAAUCUUAUGUUGAAAGUAAUAUAGCGUUUUAAAGUUUAAAGUUAAUUUUCAGAAGUUCAAGUACUGACUCAAUCAAUCAAGGUUCUUAGAAUCAUGCACCAGAGGCUGACUGUGGCUGACUAAGCAGAAAAAAAAAUUAUUAAAAGGUUAUUGAUAAGCUCCUAGAAUCAAUGGCCUGGUUGGAGAAACAGGGCUGAGGUUAGGUUCCCAGGAACUAUGUCCAAAGCACCACUGGCACUUCCCCAGCACCAACGCCACUUAUGCGCCAGACCAGUUUCUCCAUCUGUAGAAUGGAAUUAGUUAUUCAUCCUCAUAUCCUUUCACAAAGCUGAUAUAUAAGCAAGUUAUUUAUUGUCCGAAUAACUUCAGAAUCCCAGAGGUACUUUCUUUUGGGAAUGACUAGCCAUGACAAAUCUGAUUUUCAUAUUGACUCCCAAACUUUGUGGAAGAUUGUAGUAAUGACAUCAUUGGGAAAACUUAUAACUUACUCAGUGCCCUAUUUAUCACUACAUUUCCCACUGUAGAGCACUAGCCUACCAGAACAAAGGAAAUGUAGUUCCUCUUUGCUUAUUAUGGAGGAGGCCCAGACAAAAUACCUUGUCUUCCCCAACCUAAGAUUAAGUGGCUAUGUGUCCCACUUCAUGAGUAUUGGGAAAUGAAAAUUAUGGCUCAGCACCUUACAGAGCUUUAUUUACAAUAACUUCUCCCAAACUGACUUCAGAGAAUUUUGGUCUUCAGUGUGGGGAAAUGUAAUCAGUAAGGCUUAGGCUGUUGUAUAGCUUUAUUGAGCACUUGCUAAUGUUCUAGGAACUGUGACGAAUGCUUCUCAUAUAUUAUUUUCUUAAAUUCUUACUACAAUUCUAUGAUGUAUACACUAUUAUCAUCUCCAUUUUGUUGAUGAAAAAACUGAGUCUUGGAAAGAAUAGGUUAUUCCAAAGUCAUAGAGGAUAAGUGACAGAUCCAGGACUUGACUUUAAACCUGUCUGAUGCUACAGCUGAAGUUCUUAACUACUAUGUGUGGUGUACUGUGAAGGCUUCAGAACUAUGUUCAUACAAAGAGCUUGUCAGCCCUGGUGUGUACAGCAUCACUGCAGCCCUCCAAAUGGUGUUUGUUUCCAGUGAAGUCAUGACCUCAAUUUGCCCAGCAUCUGUGAUUUUGUGCUAAGGGUCAUCUUUACUUCUCAUUUGACCUUUCCCUGUGACUUGAUUCAUAGGUUUGUUUUCCUCCUUCCCAAAUUUUUCUUAUUUUUUUCUGACCUAGCUUCGUUCCUGUCUUGGAUAAAGAUAUUUUUUUCUCACACUUCAUUAAUUUCUAACCAUGGAUAUCCUGGGACUCCAUUCCCGUGUCCUCUUCAGGAACUGGUGACAGUAUAUGAUCAUUCCUUGGCCCUUAAAAACUGGAGAAGUAAAUGAAGAACCUUCUCCAGUCGUGGGAAACAUUGUCUACUUCAUCAGCUUCAAUGACAACAUGCUAUCCCCUUCCUCUGCUUCUAUCUUUGCAUACCCCAAGGCACAAUUGAUGUCCUUUGAUACUGUUUUUUCUAUUCUCUCACCUUUGGAAAGGAAAUCCUCUACAUUCUGAGGGAUUCACCAGCCCCUAUGCUGAGGACUUCCAAAUCAAGAUGUUUGGCUCCAACCUCCUUCUCAACUUCUAUUUAUAUAUCCCCAGUUGUUAGUAGAUAUCUGUCUUCAUAACUCUCACUUAUAGCAUGAAUAAAACAAAACUUUUUAUCUUUUCUUUUUCUUUUUUCCCAUUCCUUUUGAAUUUAUUUCCAACUACUUUUAUCCAUUAUUAGAAUCACUAUUGUCCCCAUUGAUCUCUUAGGACCAGCUAUUUUGAACUUGGAUAGUUCAGUAUUUUUCAUAAAAGGACCAUACAAGUUCUUAUCUAAUAAGAUGUCUUUCUGUUUCUCUCUUCUGAGCUUCCAUGGACAAGGGAGUUCACAAUCAAGGAUGGAGUUUAUCUUGGACACUGAGAGGCACUCUUCGAGGUACUGGGGAUAUGGAGAUGAACAAAACAGAGACGGUUACAAUUCUCAUGGAUCUUACAUUUUAGAAAGAGAGGGGUGUGGUGGCAGCUGAAAACGAACAAAAGCAUCAAUAUAAAGAGCUGCAUAUUAUUCCAGAGAGACUUGAUGCUGGGACCUACAGCUACUGCUUUAUAAUGGUAAGCAACCUGAGGCCCAGAGAGGUGAAAUGUUUUUGAGUUCACACAACAACUUGAGGUGAGUUUAGAUUGGGAUGAUGGUCUUGUGACAUAUUGAAGACACCGACUGAGAAUCACAAGUCCCUUAUCUGUCUCAAGUGCUCUGAUUCUACAAUCGCCAGGCUAUGGUUUUGGUUUGUCCAGCAAGCUUCCUGUCCUUCAAUCAUUGGUGAGGAUUUUUUGAGCAUAGCCCAGUCUCCUUACCUGUGGGAUGUCUUGGGGCUCACUGGCACAUAUUUUCUGUUUUACAGAUAAACUCCUGAUCAGAUAGGCUCAGUCCAUACUCUGCACCUCACUCUCUCUAUUGCUUUGGUGACAGACCAUAUUCCCACUUCCCUCUUAUCCUGACUCCUGACUAAGCACAACCCUUAGAGUCUCUCCACACCUUCAGUCACUGAGGGCUCUGCUCCUUAGUGUGGCGUUGCUAGCCAACUUAUCCCAACUUUGCAGGUGGUACCCAGGCAAUCUCUUAUGUGUGCCCUGUACUGUGCUAGAUGCCAAUAGAGACAAAAGACUCAGGAAACUUCGUCACAGCCUUUGAUCAGUUGCCUCAGCACAAAGGCAAACUUUUUAACAUAGCUCACAAGGUCCUUUUUCAUGAUUGGGUCUGACCUUAAAAUGAAGAAAUCAUGGUCGUUCCUAAACAAAUGAUUGUCCCUCCAAUAUCACAGGUUACAUUCUAUUCUUUCCCCUUUCCUUACUUGUAACUCCCUCUUCCAAAAGUAAGAAACUUAGCUCCUCUUGAUAACCGUUUUUUUAAAACUCUGAUUUUUGAAAUAAUUUUAGACCUACAGCAAAGUUACACAGAUAGCACAGAGAGUUCCUAUAUACUUCUCACUUAGUUUCUAUUUAUCGUCUUGAAUAACCCUGGUACAUUUAUCAGAAGUAAAACUUAACAUUGGUGUGUUACCAGCAACUAAACUCCAGAUUUCCUUUACUACUUUUCCCACUGAUAUCCUUUGUUUGUUCCAAGAUCCAAUCCAGGAUACUGCAUUUUAUUUAAACCUCAGUUUUUUGUUUUUUGUUUUUUUGAGGAAGAUUAGCCCUGAGCUAACAUCUGCUGCCAAUCGUCCUUUUUGCUGAGGAAGACUGGCCUUGAGCUAACAUCCAUGCCCAUUUUCCUCUACUUUAUAUGUGGGACGCCUACUACAGCAUGGCUUGCCAAGCAGUGCCACGUUCGCUCACACCCAGGAUCCGAACCGGCGAACCCUGGGCUGCCCAAGCAGAACGUGCGAACUUAAUCACUGUGCCACCAGGCCUGCUCUAGCCCUCAAUAUUUUUAAAGGUACUGCCCAAAUAGUGCUGGGUCUGCAGCUUGAAGGUGAGGUGUGGGCCUAUUUUCUGCACCCUGCAACAUAAAAUCCAAACCUGUGGCCUUUCUGAAUAAAAUUGAAUUUUCAUCUUAAUUUGAAGUACAGGUGUUUAGAGAUGUCAAGCCAUGAGACAAGGAAAAGUCAACAUGAAGUAGACACUUUCUUUCCCAUGAGUAAUAAAACUUUAAGAUCACAAUAUUAUUUCCAUUACAAGAACAUGAAUAAUGUGAACGGUGGCUUUACUAUUGCUGAGUGUUUUGUUGGGCACGUUUCUAUUGAGUCACCUCAUGUUUUAAAAUUCUAGACACAGGGAAAGCAGAGUUGGCAAAGGUUGGCCAAGAGAACUAAGCUCCCAGGAGGUUGUAUUUUAUGUUUUUCCCUAAAAUAAGCCAGAUAUGAUGCUGGAAAUUUUUUACACACUAUUUUAAUUGUACAAAACCUGGUGUGGUUAUGGUUUUCCUCAUUUUUAGAGUUGAGAAAAUUUAGCCAUGAAGUAUUUUAAAAAGUUUCUCAACAUUACGUCGCAGACCAGCAUGAGGGAGAGGGAGCAUCAAGCCCAUCUUUCCUGAUUCCAAAGCUGAGCCCUUCCCACUGUCGAAUGGCCACUUCUCACCACGGAAUCAAUGAGAGUAGAAUGUGCGUAUGUGAACGAACUUGUAAACUUCAAAGCGGAAUAAAACAUUAGGAUUAUAAUCAUUGCAAAUGUUAAUAAUUUAUUAAUUUGUUCUAAAACGUUUUUAAUCCCUGUAUGUGUGAAUUUACAUACAGGUAAAGCAUGUUUAGAUACACUUUGAAGAUAAUUUGUCCUAAAAUAUAGAAACUUCAUUAUCUUAUGUGACAGCACAACAGAACGCCUCUGUUUUUAUAUAUUGUGGAUUUCUAGAAACUUAUACAACUGCUAAAAAUUGAACAAUAGACUUAAUAUUAUGAGGAUUUCUGCUCACAGAAUGCUAAAAAUGUAAAAUCUCUACUUGUAUUUUGACUUUUAGACACCAUGUUCGAGACUAUAAUGAUUUUGUUUAAUAUCUUUAAUUUUAUUAUUUUUUGUUAAGAAAGAUACUUGACCUCUCUAGCCCCAAUUUACUUAACAGUGGGUGCACAAUUAACUGUUUAAAUCUGAUGAGCCUCCAGUUGAGGGUAAAGAUACUUGGCUUCCAGAACAUCUAGUGAUAAACCUCUUUAUCUAAUUUAUAUACCACCUACUACCUUCAGAAAGAUACUUAACCUCUAUGGCCCCAAUUUAGUCAUCAGUAAAAUGGAAUAUAAUAAUCUUACCUACCUGAUAGGGUUGCUGUGAUGAUUCAGGAGGAUGAUAUUAAUAAAGCUUGUGGAGUAGUGCUUGGCACAGAGUAAGCACUACAUAAGCCAUUUGUUAAAUAAAUCAAUAAGAAUAGAGCUUCAUCACAACAUCAAUGGUAAUAAACCUUCAUUGAUUUCUUUCUACAUGCUAUAUUUC